ACCUGUUCUAACGUACUAAAUUUUUAGCUUGCUACUACCUCUUCUUCUAUUACCUGUUCACUUGCUAAUACAUGUUCUACUUCUGUGCUAUUUUUUUAGUGAAGACAGAGAAUAUGCGUGCUUGUAAGUCUCCAACUGUGCUAUCUUGUCUUGGAUCAAUCUCCCUGUUCUGGUGGAUGCCAAGCCUUCAGCUGCAGAGUAAACUAGAUCGUUACAUGUACUGAAGCCCUGCCAUGACUCCGACCAUGUCUCCGGCAAGGCGGAGUCUACAAUACGAGAGCACCACCCUACGUGACCUCUGCAGUGACGAAAGGUGCAAACCAAAGGCCUCCUGGAGGGUGGAGGGCUCGCUGGAGAUUUGUUGGUACGCUAGAUACAGGAAUGA
rnacentral:lncRNA from 1 species